rnacentral:misc_RNA from 1 species
AACUUUCAGCAACGGAUCUCUUGGCUCUCGCAUCGAUGAAGAACGCAGCGAAAUGCGAUAAGUAAUGUGAAUUUCAGUAUUCAGUGAAUCAUCGAAUCUUUGAACGCACCUUGCGCUCCUUGGUAUUCAGAGGAGCAUGCCUGUUUGAGUGUCAUUAAUAUAAUUAACCUUUUCUUGUUUUGAGAAUGGUUUUGAUGUGGGGGUUUGCUGGCCUCUCUCAAAAGGUUCAGCUCCCCUGAAAUGCAUUAGCAGAACAACCUUUGCUCAUUGGUGUGAUAACUAUCUACGCUUAUGAAUACGGAGGGGCAGUUCAGCUUUCUAACGGUCUUUAGACAAUUCAUCAUUAAUGUGACCUCAAAUCAGGUAGGACUACCCGCUGAACUUAAGCAUAUCAAUAAGCGGAGGCU